rnacentral:rRNA from 1 species
GACGAACGCUGGCGGCGUGCUUAACACAUGCAAGUCGAACGGAAAGGCCCUGCUUUUGUGGGGUGCUCGAGUGGCGAACGGGUGAGUAACACGUGAGUAACCUGCCCUUGACUUUGGGAUAACUUCAGGAAACUGGGGCUAAUACCGGAUAGGAGCUCCUGCUGCAUGGUGGGGGUUGGAAAGUUUCGGCGGUUGGGGAUGGACUCGCGGCUUAUCAGCUUGUUGGUGGGGUAGUGGCUUACCAAGGCUUUGACGGGUAGCCGGCCUGAGAGGGUGACCGGCGACAAGGGUACUGAGAUACGGCCCAGACUCCUACGGGAGGCAGCAGUGGGGAAUAUGGCACAAUGGGCGGAAGCCUGAUGCAGCAACGCCGCGUGCGGGAUGACGGCCUUCGGGUUGUAAACCGCUUUCGCCUGUGACGAAGCGGGAGUGACGGUAAUGGGUAAAGAAGCACCGGCUAACUACGUG